CUUGGCUAAUGUGUCUCGGUUAAUGUGUCUUGGCUAAGGUGUCUUGGCUAAGGUGUCUUGGCUAAGGUGUCUCGGCUAAGGUGUCUUGGCUAAGGUGUCUUGGCUAAGGUGUCUCGGCUAAUGUGUCUUGGCUAAGGUGUCUUGGCUAAGGUGUCUUGGCUAAUGUGUCUUGGCUAAGGUGUCUUGGCUAAGGUGUCUUGGCUAAGGUGUCUUGGCUAAUGUGUCUUGGCUAAUGUGUCUUGGCUAAGGUGUCUUGGCUAAUGUGUCUUGGCUAAGGUGUCUUGGCUAAUGUGUCUUGGCUAAGGUGUCUUGGCUAAGGUGUCUUGGGUAAGGUGUCUUGGCUAAGGUGUCUUGGCUAAUGUGUCUUGGCUAAUGUGUCUUGGCUAAGGAGUCUUGGCUAAGGUGUCUUGGCUAAUGUGUCUUGGCUAAUGUGUCUUGGCUAAUGUGUCUUGGCUACUGUGUCUUGGCUGAUGUGUCUUGGCUAAUGUGUCUUGGCUAAGGUGUCUUGGCUAAGGUGUCUUGGCUAAUGUGUCUUGGCUAAUGUGUCUUGGCUAAGGUGUCUCGGCUAAUGUGUCUUGGCUAAUGUGUCUUGACUAAGGUGUCUUGGCUAAUGUGUCUUGGCUAAGGUGUCUUGGCUAAUGCGUCUUGGCUAAGGUGUCUUGGCUAAGGUGUCUUGGCUAAGGUGUCUUGGCUAAUGUGUCUUGGCUAAUGUGUCUUGGCUAAGGUGUCUCGGCUAAUGUGUCUUGGCUAAUGUGUCUUGACUAAGGUGUCUUGGCUAAUGUGUCUUGGCUAAGGUGUCUUGGCUAAUGCGUCUUGGCUAAGGUGUCUUGGCUAAGGUGUCUUGGCUAAGGUGUCUUGGCUAAGGUGUCUUGGCUAAUGUGUCUUGGCUAAGGUGUCUUGGCUAAUGUGUCUUGGCUAUUGUGUCUUGGCUAAUGUGUCUUGGCUAAGGAGUCUUGGCUAAGGUGUCUUGGCUAAUGUGUCUUGGCUAAUGUGUCUUGGCUAAUGUGUCUUGGCUAAUGUGUCUUGACUAAGGUGUCUUGGCUAAUGUGUCUUGGCUAAAGUGUCUUGGCUAAUGUGUCUUGGCUAAGGUGUCUUGGCUAAUGUGUCUUGGCUAAUGUGUCUCGGCUAAAGUGUCUUGGCUAAUGUGUCUUGGCUAAGGUGUCUUGGCUAAGGUGUCUUGGCUAAUGUGUCUUGGCUAAUGUGUCUUGGCUAAGGUGUCUUGGCUAAUGUGUCUUGGCUAAUGUGUCUCGGCUAAGGUGUCUUGGCUAAGGUGUCUUGGCUAAGGUGUCUUGGCUAAGGUGUCUUGGCUAAGGUGUCUUGGCUAAGGUGUCUCGGCUAAGGUGUCUUGGCUAAGGUGUCUUGGCUAAGGUGUCUUGGCUAAGGUGU